rnacentral:tRNA from 1 species
GCCUUCUUAGCUCAGUUGGUAGAGCGCGGCACUAGUAAUGCCGAGGUCAACGGUUCAAAUCCGUUAGAAGGCA